UCUCACCCUCAGACUAAGGGUCUCUGACUCCUUCAGAACCCCCCUUUGCUCACUCAUUGACCUAGAGGAGUCAGAAGGGUCCCCCACAUUGCCACCAUAGAGAGGAGAAGCCAGCACUGACCCUGGACCUUCCGUGGGGUCUCCUGCAGGAGCACGGGUGGAUCUGGAGACCAUCGUGGCAUAUGAAGCAAGUCAGAUGCAAACAAACUGUGCAUUCUCCCUGCUGUGUGGAAUCUAAACCCAAAAGGACCAGGAAGUGUGGCCUGCCACGGGAUCUGCAGAGCAGUGACAGCAGGGGAAGCGCCAGAGGGAUCAUUCUGGAGACCCCAGUGUCUGUGCCGGGGUCAGCAGCAGCGGGAGCAUGCGGGGCAGGUCUAAGGAAGGAGCACAGGAGCAGUCCAGUCCCGGCUUCACGUCAGUCAGGUGACCCUGGAGGAGUCCCAAAGCCAAUCCCUGCCUCACCCAGCAUGGGAAGAGGCCCUUGCUCCCCUGUGAAGCGGGGUGAGCAUGCUGGCCUUCCCUUAAGGUGAGUGUUUCGUCACCUCUCAGGCGUCAGGAGGGUCUUGGGGAGCAGAGGGUUCAGGUGCAAGCUGGGGUCUGCCCUGCUCAUU